UUUUAGCCCCGAUUGAAAUGUAAAUCCUUUUUUUUGUGAUUCUUUUCUGUUAAAGAAAUAAUUUUAUAAAAAAAAGAUUGAAAUGGAAAGCGGGACCAAUU
rnacentral:sRNA from 1 species